AAUUCCUUUGGAGACAUCCGACAUAUUUGGAACGACAUAGAGAAAAUUAAUGUGAUCCUUGCUUAAGGAUGAAACACACAUCGAGAAACGGUGCAAAAUAUGU